rnacentral:lncRNA from 1 species
GGAAUGAGCUGCAGGCAAUAUUUAUAGCUCCCGUUCUAACUUUGUUUUCACUGCAACUGGGAAAGGAGGUUGAUCAGUGGGAGUAUUUUCAGAUCUGGUAAGAUCCUAGCACUAAUGGAUGGCCAGGGAGGGGGACCCAGAGCUCUCACAGAUAAUCUGCCUUCUUAUAGCUGGCAUGUUUUUAAAUCUAAGAGCCUUAAUCUCUCUUUUCCGCUGGCCAGGCGGGUAAACGACAAUGGUGAGGUCACCCUGACUUCCUCCCCGCUCUGCCUCCUGCCUGGAGCCCACAAGGAACUAAUGAAUGGAUCGAAGGCGUAUCAUUAAUCACAGGUUGUUUGGGCACUGCAGGAGAAAUAGCCCUUUCUUGAACUCUCACUGUAGUUCAAAUAUAUCAUUGUGACUUUUGCCACAUUGCACUCGCUGACACACAUGAAGGCAAGGGAAGGCAAUGAACUAUUCAAACUUCUCCCAAAGUCCCAGAUAAUCUGAAAUAAUUUCAAUGUAUGCAUGGAAGACACUUCAUUGGAAGAAAGUUUUGUGCUCUGAUGUCAUCUCCUUGAUAACUCCAACCAAUGUGGAUUCCACACUGAAAGUGUUGAAGUUGUCUACAUACCAACUGACACAAUAUCUCUCAUUUGGUCACUUGAUCAUGUGGGAAUAUGAACAUUUAAGGCACACUAUACAUACUAUCCAGUGGGAAGGAUCACAGAGAAUAUCAUAGGAAAACCCCAUGAUUUGAAAGACAUACCUGUACCAUUUUGUGAAUUCGACUUUCCUUCUCCAUAUCUUAUUUGUUCACACUAUCAGGCUAUCUGAAAUGGGAUCCCAGAGCAUCCUUAACCUGUUAAAAUAAUUUUUGUUUCUUUGCAACCUAAAACAGGUACUGUUUCUUACAUGAAAUCUUCCCUGAUCACACUAUAUGGAAAUAGCCUCUGCCUCCUCAGUCAUUAGAAUAUCUAUUUGCACUCUUCUAUCCACAUAUCACCUUCCAAUUUGUAAUACAAUUAUUUGUGAACAUUUCAUAUCCUACUAAAUAGUAAGUUCCUUGAGGAUAUGCACAAUAUUUUUCAUUUUGCAUCUCCAGUAAUUUGUACAAAACCUUACCUAAAGUAUCCACUUAAUGAAUGUUCAUUGAACUAACCUAAUGGUUGGCAUUCAAUGAAUAUUUGCUAUUAAUAAAGCAUGACACUGUUUUGUUACUGCUAUGACC